rnacentral:lncRNA from 1 species
UCAGAUCAAGGUAACCAAUUCAUAGUGCAGUUGUGGAGGUAGCUUGGUUACCUUGGUAUACAGGUUUGGUUAUCUUGGUAUAAAAAUUUGGUUACCUUGGCACGAAGGUUUGAUUAUUAAUAUUACAUUACACAUCAGUCUCUUAUCUCUCUCUUUCCUAUGUAGUGUUCUUAUUUUCUUUUGAACAUGAAAUUAAAAUUGAAAUUUCUGGACAUGAAUAAAUUGUGAAAAAAUCAAAUAUCCAUGCUUCUCUAUCCAGUUGCUGAAGCUUGACUAAUAUUUUAUCUACUAGUCCACUGUAUUAUUCGAUGAUGACGGUUUCUACUUGAGGUGGCUCACACCAAAUUACAAUGGCGGCCAAUGCUCUGUUCUCUCUUCAUUAAGAAAGGAAAAGUUUGUAAUACAUCAGGUUUUAUUUUUAUGGUUUCGAAUGUACAAGUAAUUUGUUUUGUUUGGGUUAUUGGACUUUUUGACUUAGAGUUAG